GGACAGAGCUGAAGACCAUCAACCACUUCCUCUUCCAGAACCAGGUGGACAGCAUCAACCUGUUUAAGGUAGAGCGCCACCCUUCGGCCCUGGCACAUCACCCGUCCUUAGUGCCAGCUGCAGCAGCCGCUGCCUACGAUCGAAAAAGGAAUAAAAGCAGAGUCCCCAGUCACCAAGCAGUCAGACGCAGGAGAGUACGGGGCCCUUGAAGCAGUGUACACCGAGGAACAAAGUGACCUUCGCUCCGGCGCCGGGCUCGGAUGGCUUGGUGGGAAGAGAGCCUCUCUGGGACCUCGGGCACAGUGGAGCCCGCGGGUCCUCCCCUCCCCUCUUCCGUCUCGCCCUGGAGCCUCGGGUCGGAGCGCAGCCUAAGAACUGUCCGGCUCUCCCGCGGGGUGUGCGGCCACUGUCGCUCGAAUCACAGCCCAGCGACUGCAGUGUCAGCUGCCUCUGUGCGGAGGACUCACUGUGUUCCGGGAGGGGCACGGGUGGGGGCCGCAGGACAGCGCCGCGCCCCGCUGCCCGAGCCAGCGCCCCGCAGUGCCCCUUCCUGCUGCCUUCUCCUGCGGGCCAGCUUUUCGCGACGUCCCCUUUAGGUCACUGCUGGAAACUGAGUCACCUGCCUCCUUUCUGCCCCGAGUCCCACGCGCACAGGGUCCCCAGCCCGUGGCCAGCCCUGUCUCUGAAGUGCGGGUCACAGUGCCCCCUCCUCACCCCGUCUCCCUUGCAGGUGCAGCGGUACUGCGAGAGGAGCAAGGUCAGCAGGAAGGUGCGGCCCCUGCCCGGCCUCCCUGCCCGGUCUUCUGCCUCGGGGUCCCCAGCUCGUCCGUGUCUGCUCCUCAGGCUGGGGCGGCACGGGCUGCAGCUGUGUGGAGUCCUGUGUCACGCUGCCACCCUCUCUCCUCUCCGCCAGCUCUGCGGCUUCACGGAACGCUACGGCGCCGUCCUCCCGCCGCCCCGGGAGCCGUCCGGGCUGGCCGGGCUCCAGCGCUUCCUGCAGAGCGUGCAGCCCGCGGUGAGCGAGGCGCCCGCCGCGCCCCUGGAGGAGGCCGAGGUCGGGGCCACGCGGGCCGCUUCCCCGCUGAUGCACAUCGAAGGCUUCCUCGCGGCCCUCACCACCGCCAGCCAGGACGGCAGGGUCAUCCUGAGCCGCCAAGGCAGCCUCAGCCAGAGCAGCCUCAAAUUCUUGCUCCUGAAUCCAGCUGUGCACUUUGCCCAGGUGGUGAAGGAAUGCCGGGCGGUGGUCAUUGCAGGUGGCACCAUGCAGCCGAUUUUCUCAAAAUCAGCAUGGGAAGCCCCUGCCUGCCCUCCUGAUCCUGUCGGCGGGACCCGGCCCGAUGUCUCCUUAUGUUCACGCACAACAGAGCGACGUCUCAGUGGAGGGCGGCACGUGGCCCUUGGUGCCAGGGCGCCCGCUCGCUCCCGACUGUCACUGCAUGGGCCACGUGGCAGGGACACCCAGGACAUGCGUUUUGAAAAGCAUGAAAACGAGUACCAGCGCCAGGUCCUUGCCCACUGGGACAAGAGUAACCUGCUGGCUGGCCUCGCUGUCAGGAAAAAGGUGAGUGGCCCUUUGCCUGGCACACACCCUCCCAGGUUGGCAGUGCCCCCAGAGCUCCGGCUGGAGUCCUCACGCUCCCUAAACCCAGAUGGUUCCACUUCUCCUGGUCCCUCACCCGCACCAUGUCCAUCUCCGGUCUCUGGGUCCUGGCCAAAGGGACCCCCAAGGAUGAAUGCCCUAAGAAGGGCUGUCCACACAGUGCAGACGGGAGACCUCACAAUCCUCGGCCCUUUUCUGGGAUGCUGUCUCUCCCUCCCUAAGAACCCAAGAAAGCCAGCCAGGUGGAGCAGGUGCUGGCGGCAUACUCCAGGUGCAUUAAGAGCUGUCACCAGGCGGGAGGCCCGGUGA
ensembl:lincRNA